AGUCGAGCGAAUGGAUUAAGAGCUUGCUCUUAUGAAGUUAGCGGCGGACGGGUGAGUAACACGUGGGUAACCUGCCCAUAAGACUGGGAUAACUCCGGGAAACCGGGGCUAAUACCGGAUAAUAUUUUGAACUGCAUAGUUCGAAAUUGAAAGGCGGCUUCGGCUGUCACUUAUGGAUGGACCCGCGUCGCAUUAGCUAGUUGGUGAGGUAACGGCUCACCAAGGCAACGAUGCGUAGCCGACCUGAGAGGGUGAUCGGCCACACUGGGACUGAGACACGGCCCAGACUCCUACGGGAGGCAGCAGUAGGGAAUCUUCCGCAAUGGACGAAAGUCUGACGGAGCAACGCCGCGUGAGUGAUGAAGGCUUUCGGGUCGUAAAACUCUGUUGUUAGGGAAGAACAAGUGCUAGUUGAAUAAGCUGGCACCUUGACGGUACCUAACCAGAAAGCCACGGCUAACUACGUGCCAGCAGCCGCGGUAAUACGUAGGUGGCAAGCGUUAUCCGGAAUUAUUGGGCGUAAAGCGCGCGCAGGUGGUUUCUUAAGUCUGAUGUGAAAGCCCACGGCUCAACCGUGGAGGGUCAUUGGAAACUGGGAGACUUGAGUGCAGAAGAGGAAAGUGGAAUUCCAUGUGUAGCGGUGAAAUGCGUAGAGAUAUGGAGGAACACCAGUGGCGAAGGCGACUUUCUGGUCUGUAACUGACACUGAGG
rnacentral:rRNA from 2 species